rnacentral:sRNA from 1 species
GUCGCAGGUUCGAAUCCUGCACGACCCACCAAUCGCUAAGGUGGAAUGCGAUUGUAAAACGUGAAGGAUAACGUUGCGUAAGCAACGGCCCGUAGGGCGAGACGAAGUCGAGUCAUCCUGCACGACCCACCA